GACAAAAGGAAAAACAUCUUCAUGAAAGAAGAAGAAAGUAUUGCGGUCUCAUCCAAAGCCGUCUGGUUUGCCUCCGACGAAUUGACGCAUCAACAGUUUGAUAGAGUUUGGAAAGCACGCGAGGCCACAGUCAGACCUUCUGCCACCCUUCCAGAAGAAGCCCUGACACCCGAUGGAGACAGUCCGUAGCCUCUUGCUAAUUAUCUGUGAAGACCUAGAUCAUCCAUGUGACACUCACACAGCAUCGCCUGCGAG